GGCGGUGCAUUGGCUGCAUCAUUCGCUGUACGACGUGACCGGCUCCGAUGCUAACACUCUCUGGCUCCUCCAGAGAUUGGCACCCAAGGUGGUAACAAUGGUUGAGCAAGACCUAAGCCAAGCAGGCCCAUUCCUUGCUCGAUUCGUGGAGGCGAUCCACUACUACUCAGCUCUCUUUGACUCGCUCGGUGCCAGCUAUGGCGACGACAGCCCUGAGCGCCACCUGGUGGAGCAGCAGCUGCUCUCACGAGAGAUACGCAAUGUGUUAGCUGUUGGGGGACCUGCACGCACCGGAGAGGUCAAGUUCAGCAACUGGCGGGAGAAGCUAG
rnacentral:misc_RNA from 1 species